rnacentral:rRNA from 1 species
CACGUAGGGCGCAAGCGUUGUCCGGAAUUAUUGGGCGUAAAGAGCUCGUAGGCGGACUGUCACGUCUGCUGUGAAAAGCUGGGGCUUAACCCUGGCCUUGCAGUGGAUACGGGCAGACUAGAGGUAGGUAGGGGAGAAUGGAAUUCCUGGUGUAGCGGUGAAAUGCGCAGAUAUCAGGAGGAACACCAAUGGCGAAGGCAGCACUCUGGGACGUGACUGACGCUGAGACGCGAAAGCGUGGGGAGCGAACAGG